UACGGAGGGGGCUAGCGUUGUUCGGAAUUACUGGGCGUAAAGCGCACGUAGGCGGCUUUGCAAGUUAGAGGUAAAAGCCCGGGGCUCAACUCCGGAAUUGCCUUUAAGACUGCAUCGCUAGAAUUGUGGAGAGGUAAGUGGAAUUCCGAGUGUAGAGGUGAAAUUCGUAGAUAUUCGGAAGAACACCAGUGGCGAAGGCGACUUACUGGACACAUAUUGACGCUGAGGUGCGAAAGCGUGGGGAGCAAACAGG
rnacentral:rRNA from 1 species